CUUUGUUUUGAUGACUUGUAGAUUUUUGCAAUAAGUAUGUGAGUUCUUUAUGACUAAUGUUGAGUCCAUGGAUUAUACGCACUCUCAUCCUUCCAUCAUUGCUAGCCUCUUCGGUACCAUGCAUUGCCCUUUCUCACCUCGAGAAGUUGGUGCAAACUUCGCCGGUGCAUCCAAACCCCGUGAUACGAUACGCUCUAUCACACAUAAGCCUCCUUAUAUCUUCCUCAAAACAGCCACCAUACCUACCUAUUAUGGCAUUUCCAUAGCCAUUCC
rnacentral:rRNA from 1 species